ACUGUGUACCGAAACACUUGACGGGGUUUUAUGGAAGCAUGUUUGCGCACAGUUAUACCGUGUUGAAAAACUCGUUAGCGUGUGUUACUCCGCUGCGUCGAGUUUCAAAACCAGAUUAAUGUUACUUGAGCGCCGGCAUUGAGAAAUAUUUAACACUGGAGUGUUAAUUUACUUUGUUCUGUUUCGCGCCAAAUUGCAGCGUCGCUUGUGCCAGCGUGGGCCGCAGUCGCCAUUUUGUGCGAUCGGCCAUCGGGUGCCGGGUGAGGCUGUGGGCUGUGUCUUCACGUCUUGAUGCUCAGCCAACCUUCAAAAAAUGAGAGUGUUUGUGACGCACGGUGAUCUUGCGCGUGUAUUUGACUGCCUCAACGUUGGUGACCUGCGAAGAAGUGUAACGACAUUCUUCGCAAUGACACAGGAGGUACAACUGGAGAUCUUUGACCAAGCAUGGGGGGAGUGGAUCCUCCUGAUGGACGGCGAUCCCAUCAACCAGGAGCGCCCCAGGGUGAGGACGGCUAUGCCGUCAGCUCUACCGAAGCUGGCGGGUCCGCUGAUCGAGUUCGAAAAUCCUGUGGCAGGCUCCGUUCUGUUAAUGAGGGAUGAACCGGCUCCGGCACGAAGCAAUGAAGAAACCGGGCUGAGCAGCUGCUGCACAACAGAGCCCGUCGACUCUAUGUCGUCGACUGCAUUGGAACCACCCAGGGAUGAACCGGCUCCGGCACGAAGCAAUGAAGAAACCGGGCUGAGCGGCAGCUGCACAACAGAGCCCGUCGACUCUAUGUCGUCUGCCGCAGCCACUUUCAACGACACCGAGCUGAGACCGGCGCUGCUUCGCAAACUACGCCAGGAUAGGGCGAACUUGACGAGGUCCGAGUGGUCCGAAGUCGUAGAUCUCAUCUACGACUACCAAACGUCAGCCAGCUGCAGAGCUACAUGAAAGGGAAGAUCAUAUGGCGCUUCAAAAACAAAAAACGCCCACGGUCGGUGUCAUCGGAGGCUGGACCUGCAAAACCUAACAAGCAAGCACGCAAAGUGGACUUCGAAGGAUACUCAGCCUACGUACCACCGCCGCCGGCCGAUGACGUGCAGGCGCACCGCAACCGGCUGCGGUCCGGGACCCUCGAUCGGCAGCAACACGCUGCUCUGAUGGCCGCUACAUUUAAUGAUAGACGCCAUCACGUCGUCAAACUCGGAACGUCCGUAAAGCGGCUGCUACAUAUGUACCCAUCGCUGAAAGUCCCUGACGAGAUAUGGCUCGAGAUGAGCCGCAUGGAAGGAAGCAUCGAAGCCCCGGAGUCCAAACUGGCCAAGUACGAGGCAGCCCUGUGUAAGCUGAUGGACGCGGCCCAACAGCUGACAGGAUGUGAAGACACGGACCAAGAGAAGAUCGACGCUCUACUGGAGUACCUGCUCGUGAGGAGCACCGACAUAUUCCUCGAAGAAGGGGCAGCCAAGUCCUCCUGCAAGUCCCCCUGCAUCCAAGGCGGCGUCCUGUACGUCGAGGGGACCGAGGUGGCAACAGUCACCGAGGAGACGCCAACCAGUACACGGCUGCUACUCUGGGCCGCUAUGUUUCCCGUGUUUCACCAAAAAAUCCCAACAUCGAGCGCACAGAACGCGCUCGUCGCGAUAACUGAGGAAGUGUUCGGAAAGCCGGCCGGUAGGGCCUUGAAAAACAGGUCCGCGGACCGGCUGCGAAAGCUAGUGGCUUUGAAACUGUGAAUGAUUGUGAGCGAUACGUCGUCGGCGCGCCCAUCGACAUGGGCGAAAGUGCAGACUGCUGCUCUGCAUACGUGAAACAUUGAGUAAACGUGCUCGUUCACCAGCGGUGUUGCGGUGUUGCUCGUUCGCCAGCGGUGUUGCGGUGUUGCUCGUUCGCCAGCGGUGUUGCUCGUUCACCAGCGGUGUUGCUCGUUCACUAGCGGUGUUGCUCGUUCACCAGCGGUGUUGCUCGUUCACCAGCGGUGUUGCUCGUUCACCAGUGGUGUUGCUCGUUCACCAGCGGUGUUGCUCGUUCACCAGCGGUGUUGCUCGUUCACCAGCGGUGUUGCUCGUUCACCAGCGGUGUUGCUCGUUCACCAGCGGUGUUGCUCGUUCACCAGCGGUGUUGCUCGUUCACCAGCGGUGUUGCUCGUUCACCAGCGGUGUUGCUCGUUCACCAGCGGUGUUGGUCGUUCACCAGCGGUGAACGUUUUAUGUAAGAAGUAGUCAGUUUUUUUUUGUGUGGAUAAUUACAGAUCGGUUGCCUCCGAACACCCUGUGAGAGGCCAGCGAAAGCGGUUGGCUCCGCAGCCUUACCCUCCGUUGCGUUGGCUGCAGUUGUGUUUUAUUUUUGCGUUCAUGCAUUGCCCCACACUGCGUGCAUGGCUCAGUUGGAUGUCGACGUGCUCAAAUAAUAAUGAGUGGAUUCUCA